UACAGAGGUCUCAAGCGUUGUUCGGAUUCAUUGGGCGUAAAGGGUGCGUAGGUGGCGCCAUAAGUCAGGUGUGAAAUCUCGGGGCUUAACUCCGAAACUGCAUUUGAUACUGUGGUGCUUGAGGACUGGAGAGGAGACUGGAAUUCACGGUGUAGCAGUGAAAUGCGUAGAUAUCGGGAGGAACACAGUGGCGAAGGCGGCU
rnacentral:rRNA from 1 species